rnacentral:rRNA from 1 species
GACGAACGCUGGCGGCGUGCUUAACACAUGCAAGUCGAACGGAAAGGCCCCGCUUUUGUGGGGUGCUCGAGUGGCGAACGGGUGAGUAACACGUGAGUAACCUGCCCUUGACUUUGGGAUAACUUCAGGAAACUGGGGCUAAUACCGGAUAGGAGCUCCUGCUGCAUGGUGGGGGUUGGAAAGUUUCGGCGGUUGGGGAUGGACUCGCGGCUUAUCAGCUUGUUGGUGGGGUAGUGGCUUACCAAGGCUUUGACGGGUAGCCGGCCUGAGAGGGUGACCGGCCACAUUGGGACUGAGAUACGGCCCAGACUCCUACGGGAGGCAGCAGUGGGGAAUAUUGCACAAUGGGCGGAAGCCUGAUGCAGCAACGCCGCGUGCGGGAUGACGGCCUUCGGGUUGUAAACCGCUUUCGCCUGUGACGAAGCGUGAGUGACGGUAAUGGGGAAAGAAGCACCGGCUAACUACGU